rnacentral:rRNA from 1 species
GAUGAACGCUGGCGGCGUGCCUAAUACAUGCAAGUCGAGCGAACAGACGAGGAGCUUGCUCCUCUGACGUUAGCGGCGGACGGGUGAGUAACACGUGGAUAACCUACCUAUAAGACUGGGAUAACUUCGGGAAACCGGAGCUAAUACCGGAUAACAUGUUGAACCGCAUGGUUCAACAGUGAAAGACGGUCUUGCUGUCACUUAUAGAUGGAUCCGCGCCGCAUUAGCUAGUUGGUAAGGUAACGGCUUACCAAGGCAACGAUGCGUAGCCGACCUGAGAGGGGGAUCGGCCAAACUGGAACUGAGACCCGGUCCAGAACCCUAGGGGAGGCAGAAGGAGGGAAUUUUCCGAAAUGGGCGAAAGCCUGACGGAGCAACGCCGCGUGGGGGAAGAAGUGCUUCGGAUCGUAAAACCCUUUUAUUAGGGAAAAAAAAAUGUUUAAGUAACUAUGCACGUUUUGACGGUACCAAAUCAAAAAGCCACGGCUAACUACGU